UGUGGCACCACGUGCACUAAAUGGAUCUUUCAUCAUUUAAUAAUAGAGUCUUAUUUAAAUGGAUCUAUCGUUGAUCUAUAUAUUUGUUCUUAUUUCAUCUUGAGUGAUACUUUGUUUUUUGUUUUAACAUUCUAGUGGCAAAUUCUUUCUUGAAAAAUAAGGUUGUAAAUUGAUUUGCUGCAACUCAUAUAAAUAUCAAACAACAAUGGUGUCACAUGUGGAGCAUGAUUUGUUUACCCCCCCAGGUUAGAUUUUGUUCCUAAAAUAAUAUCUUUAUUGCACUUUUCUUUGCUGUUUUCACAAAUUACUCGACCUACAGCAGUUGCGAGAUCACUCCAAGUUUUUAAUGCGGUUCCUGUUGCUCAUUCUUUAGUUUUCUAUGUUGUGUUUUUAGGUACUGUUGUAUGUCUGUUGAUUUUAAUCAUAUCUACAAUUCAGAGAUGCACAAUCUCAAUAUAGAGAAGAAUCAUUU
rnacentral:lncRNA from 1 species